AAGGAAUAUUGGUCAAUGGAGGCAACUCUGAACCAGCCAUGCCGCGUGCAGGAAGACUGCCCUAUGGGUUGUAAACUGCUUUUAUCCGGGAAUAAACCUCUGCUCGUGAGCAGAGCUGAAUGUACCGGAAGAAUAAGGAUCGGCUAACUCCGUGCCAGCAGCCGCGGUAAUACGGAGGAUCCAAGCGUUAUCCGGAUUUAUUGGGUUUAAAGGGUGCGUAGGCGGCCUGUUAAGUCAGGGGUGAAAGACGGUAGCUCAACUAUCGCAGUGCCCUUGAUACUGAUGGGCUUGAAUGGACUAGAGGUAGGCGGAAUGAGACAAGUAGCGGUGAAAUGCAUAGAUAUGUCUCAGAACACCGAUUGCGAAGGCAGCUUACUAUGGUCUUAUUGACGCUGAGGCACGAAAGCGUGGGGAUCAAA
rnacentral:rRNA from 1 species